rnacentral:rRNA from 1 species
UGGGGAAUAUUGCACAAUGGGCGCAAGCCUGAUGCAGCCAUGCCGCGUGUAUGAAGAAGGCCUUCGGGUUGUAAAGUACUUUCAGCGAGGAGGAAGGCGUUGUGGUUAAUAACCGCAACGAUUGACGUUACUCGCAGAAGAAGCACCGGCUAACUCCGUGCCAGCAGCCGCGGUAAUACGGAGGGUGCAAGCGUUAAUCGGAAUUACUGGGCGUAAAGCGCACGCAGGCGGUCUGUCAUGUCGGAUGUGAAAUCCCCGGGCUCAACCUGGGAACUGCAUCCGAAACUGGCAGGCUAGAGUCUUGUAGAGGGGGGUAGAAUUCCAGGUGUAGCGGUGAAAUGCGUAGAGAUCUGGAGGAAUACCGGUGGCGAAGGCGGCCCCCUGGACAAAGACUGACGCUCAGGUGCGAAAGCGUGGGGAGCAAACA